rnacentral:rRNA from 1 species
UACGUAGGGUCCGAGCGUUGUCCGGAAUUAUUGGGCGUAAAGGGCUCGUAGGCGGUUUGUCGCGUCGGGAGUGAAAACCAGGUGCUUAACACCUGGCCUGCUUUCGAUACGGGCAGACUAGAGGCAUUCAGGGGAGAACGGAAUUCCCGGUGUAGCGGUGAAAUGCGCAGAUAUCGGGAGGAACACCGGUGGCGAAGGCGGUUCUCUGGGCCUGUACUGACGCUGAGGAGCGAAAGCGUGGGGAGCGAACAGG